rnacentral:tRNA from 1 species
GGGUAUAGUUCAGUCGGUAGAACGUCGGUCUCCAAAACCGGAUGUCGAGGGUUCGAGUCCUUCUGCCC